CCAGGGACCUGGUGGAAAGGUCACCCCCAGAAUGGACAGGCUGGGAAGAGCUCACUUAACAGUGAAUGCAAGAAAUUACAUUAUAGAAAGCAAGCUGUACUUCAGAAAAACACACAUCAACAGAGGAAGAGAAAGGCUCCAUUUCUUUUGAAAAUGAUGGAAGAUUCUUCUCAGAAAUCUUUUUAAAAAAUCAGUAUAUUCAGAGAUCUGAUAGAGACUUUAUUUUAGUUCUAGUUUUUUUGGGGAAAAGUUUGCCAUGGUUUUGGAGGCUCCUUAAAGUAUUAAAUCUUGAGCUCUUCUUAUCAAAGUCAAGGGAACCUACUGAGUAAAACUAUUUUUAAAAGGGAGAAAUUUUUAUGCUUUCCUUUUAAGAGGUUAAUCAAUAAACCCAAGUGAACAAGAA
ensembl:lncRNA LINC00466 long intergenic non-protein coding RNA 466